CCUGUUGAGCUUGACUCUAGUCUGGCACGG
rnacentral:piRNA from 3 species